rnacentral:rRNA from 1 species
AUGACUCAUUUCAUAUACCCUAGUCUGAAAGGAAAAGAAGGUGUAGUUGAGACCCUAGGAAAUCACCUGAAAAUUGAUAAAGCUUUGAUUGAGUCCCUAGGCAACCUGCCCGAACUCGAGAGUCUGGAGAUCUCCUCUGCUGGUCCUUGGGAUGCCAACCUUAUGCAGGAUUGGGUGCCGUCUCCAAACCUCCGCAGGCUUAAAUAUGACGGACAUCUCGAGAGCUUGCCUACAUGGAUUUGUUCUUCGUCGCUUCCCCUACUCUCCAACCUAUAUCUAUAUGUUACUAAAGUGCGAUUUGAGGAUAUCCAGAUCCUUGGGAUGCUGCCGGCUCUCCGUUAUGUCACUCUCAUGUCAGAUCUAGGUGAUGGCAAGAACACAGUGGAAAAGUUGGUGCUUACCGUUGGUGCCUUCCCCAGAGCAAGAGUGUGCCUUUUUCACAAUCUUUUACUGGUGCACCCUACGUUCCAACCAGGAGCUAUGCCAAUGGUUCAACGCCUUCGCUUCGGUCUCCGAGUGAAUGACAUUCUCAGUCCUGAGUUCGAUUUGAGCAUAAGGAACCUUGAUUCGCUCAAGAAACUCAGAAUUGACCUUUUCAAUGAGGGAAACAGACCUGGGGAUUAUUCUCAACCCAUGGACGUGCUGAGGCAUGUGGCAGAUGAGCAUCCCAAAAGCCCCACCCUUCGUGCCGAUAAAUACUGA